rnacentral:rRNA from 1 species
AGCAGUCGCCACGGGAAUACGUAGGGUGCAAGCGUUAAUCGGAAUUACUGGGCGUAAAGCGUGCGCAGGCGGUUAUAUAAGACAGAUGUGAAAUCCCCGGGCUCAACCUGGGAACUGCAUUUGUGACUGUAUAGCUAGAGUACGGCAGAGGGGGAUGGAAUUCCGCGUGUAGCAGUGAAAUGCGUAGAUAUGCGGAGGAACACCGAUGGCGAAGGCAAUCCCCUGGGCCUGUACUGACGCUCAUGCACGAAAGCGUGGGGAGCAAACAGGAUUAGAUACCCCAGUAGUCCCUGUCUCUUAUAU